rnacentral:rRNA from 1 species
AUUGAACGCUGGCGGCAGGCCUAACACAUGCAAGUCGAGCGGAUGAAGGGAGCUUGCUCCUGGAUUCAGCGGCGGACGGGUGAGUAAUGCCUAGGAAUCUGCCUGGUAGUGGGGGAUAACGUCCGGAAACGGGCGCUAAUACCGCAUACGUCCUGAGGGAGCAAGUGGGGGAUCUUCGGACCUCACGCUAUCAGAUGAGCCUAGGUCGGAUUAGCUAGUUGGUGGGGUAAAGGCCUACCAAGGCGACGAUCCGUAACUGGUCUGAGAGGAUGAUCAGUCACACUGGAACUGAGACACGGUCAAGACUCCUACGGGAGGCAGCAGUGGGGAAUAUUGGACAAUGGGCGAAAGCCUGAUCCAGCCAUGCCGCGUGUGUGAAGAAGGUCUUCGGAUUGUAAAGCACUUUAAGUUGGGAGGAAGGGCAGUAAGUUAAUACCUUGCUGUUUUGACGUUACCAACAGAAUAAGCACCGGCUAACUUCGUG